UACGUAGGGGGCGAGCGUUGUUCGGAAUUACUGGGCGUAAAGGGCGCGUAGGCGGCCCGCUAAGUCGAACGUGAAAUCCCCGAGCUCAACUCGGGAACUGCGUCCGAUACUGGUGGGCUUGAAUCCGGGAGAGGGAUGCGGAAUUCCAGGUGUAGCGGUGAAAUGCGUAGAUAUCUGGAGGAACACCGGUGGCGAAGGCGGCAUCCUGGACCGGCAUUGACGCUGAGGCGCGAAAGCUAGGGGAGCAAACGGG
rnacentral:rRNA from 1 species